CCCUUAGAUGUCCGGGGCUGCACGCGCGCUACACUGAAGGAAUCAGCGUGCUAAAACCAUUGUCGAAAGGCAUUGGUAAACCCAUUAAAAUCCUACGUGAUUGGGAUCGGGAAUUGCAAUUAUUUCCCUUGAACGAGGAAUUCCCAGUAAGUGUGGGUCAUAAGCUCGCGUUGAUUACGUCCCUGCCCUUUGUACACACCGCCCGUCGCCGCCCGGGACUGAGCCGUUUCGAGAAAAGCGGGGACUGCUGCUGUCGGGGCUUUCGGGCCUUGGCUUCGGUGGAAACCGCUUUAAUCGCAGUGGCUUGAACCGGGCAAAAGUCGUAACA
rnacentral:rRNA from 1 species